rnacentral:rRNA from 1 species
CCUACGGGAGGCAGCAGUGGGGAAUAUUGGGCAAUGGGCGCAAGCCUGACCCAGCAACGCCGCGUGAAGGAAGAAGGCUUUCGGGUUGUUAACUUCUUUUUUCAGGGAAGAGUAGAAGACUGUACCUGACGAAUAAGCCACGGCUAACUACUUGCCAGCAGCCGCGGUAAUACGUAGGUGGCAAGCGCUGUCCGGAUUUACUGGGUGUAAAGGGCGUGUAGCCGGGUUGACAAGUCAGAUGUGAAAUCCUGCGGCUUAACCGGAGAACUGCAUUUGAAACUGUUGAUCUUGAGUACUGGAGAGGCAGGCGGAAUUCCUGGUGUAGCGGUGAAAUGCGUAGAUAGUAGGAGGAACACCAGUGGCGAAGGCGGUCUACUGGACAGCAACUGACGGUGAGGCGCGAAAGCGUGGGGAGCAAACAGGAUUAGAUACCCGGGUAGUC